UUAAAUGCGAGGAAAAGAAGAGUAAUAAUAUGGAAGGUUUAUAGAGAGCUGGAUUAGGUGAAAGCCAGUAGCUGAAAGUGUUAUGAAGAUGGUCUUGGAGCGGGUUUUCUGAGCCUUAGGGUUAGGAGGAUACGGUGGCAACCGUUAUAUUGCAAAGUAUAUUAAGUACUUAAUGAGGUGCUAUUUGGUAACAAUGGCAUAAAAUAGAGUGGUAACACGUAUAAUACGUCUCUAUA
rnacentral:ncRNA from 1 species